rnacentral:rRNA from 1 species
AACGUAGGACGCAAGCGUUAUCCGGAAUUACUGGGCGUAAAGGGCUCGUAGGUGGCCAACUAAGUCAUACGUGAAAUCCCUCGGCUUAACCGGGGAACUGCGUCUGAUACUGGUUGGCUUGAGUUUGGGAGAGGGAUGCGGAAUUCCAGGUGUAGCGGUGAAAUGCGUAGAUAUCUGGAGGAACACCGGUGGCGAAGGCGGCAUCCUGGACCAAUACUGACACUGAGGAGCGAAAGCCAGGGGAGCAAACGGG